rnacentral:rRNA from 1 species
UACGGAGGAUGCAAGCGUUAUCCGGAUUCAUUGGGUUUAGAGGGUGCGUAGGCGGGCUAUUAAGUCAGUGGUGAAAUCCUGCAGCUUAACUGCAGAACUGCCGUUGAUACUGAUAGUCUUGAGUUUGGUUAAGGUAGGCGGAAUGUGUAAUGUAGCGGUGAAAUGCUUAGAUAUUACACAGAACACCAAUUGCGUAGGCAGCUUACUGAGCCGACACUGACGCUGAGGCACGAAAGCGUGGGGAUCGAACA